rnacentral:lncRNA from 1 species
CAGUUCAGGGUUUAAAACCCUAAUGCUGAUUGCAUGGAAAAGCUCAGUUUAGGGUUUAAAACCCUAAUGCUGGCUGAAUGGAAAAAAGUUCAGUUUUGGGUUUAAAACCCUAAUGCUGAUUAAAUGGAAAAGCUCAGUUCAGGGUUUAAAACCCUAAUGCUGAUUAAAUGGAAAAGCUCAGUUUAGGGUUUAAAACCCUAAUGCUGGCUGAAUGGGAAAAAGUUCAGUUUAGGGUUUAAAACCCUAAUGCUGACUAAAGGAAAAAUUCAGUUUAGGGUUUAAAACCCUAAUGCUGACUGCAUGGAAAAGCUCAGUUUAGGGUUUAAAACCCUAAUGCUGGCUGAAUGGAAAAAGUUCAGUUUAGGGUUUAAAACCCUAAUGCUGACUAAAGGAAAAAUUCAGAUUAGGGUUUAAAACCUAAUGCUGAUUGCAUAGAAAAGCUCAGUUUAGGGUUUAAAACCCUAAUGCUGGCUGAAUGAAAAAUUCAGUUUAGGGUUUAAAACCCUAAUGCUGACUAAAGGGAAAAUUCAGUUUAGGGUUUAAAACCUUAAUGCUGACUGGCUAGGGACAAAAUUCGAGAACAACAGCUGACCUCUUUUUUUGAAUUUUCUUGUUUUAGUAGAAGAUAAAAGGGAGUUUCGUGGAAACUUACCUUUCGAGUGAAUUCCUUAUUGCCGAAAUGUUUCUUGUACCCAUGUACCUUCUUCUUUGGGCGACGCCUGCUUCUUGCACGGUUGUCUUGGAUUAAACCUGUUUCAACUUUUCAGACAAAGAACAAUUGUUAGUUCGGAAAUGACGGUCCGUUUGGUGACAUUGAUCAUUCCCGAUUGCUUUGUUUCGUCUUCAUUUCUGUUGCGAAGUCCCGCCAUUGAUUUGAUUCAUAUGUCGAAACCCUUUAGACUGCUCAGGCUUGCAUUUCCAGAUUCUGUGA